rnacentral:rRNA from 1 species
GACGAACGCUGGCGGCGUGCCUAAUACAUGCAAGUUGAGCGCUGAAGGUUGGUACUUGUCCCAACUGGAUGAGCAGCGAACGGGUGAGUAACGCGUGGGGAAUCUGCCUUUGAGCGGGGGACAACAUUUGGAAACGAAUGCUAAUACCGCAUAAAAACUUUAAACACAAGUUUUAAGUUUGAAAGAUGCAAUUGCAUCACUCAAAGAUGAUCCCGCGUUGUAUUAGCUAGUUGGUGAGGUAAAGGCUCACCAAGGCGAUGAUACAUAGCCGACCUGAGAGGGGGAUCGGCCACAUUGGGACUGAGACACGGCCAAAACUCCUACGGGAGGCAGCAGUAGGGAAUCUUCGGCAAUGGACGAAAGUCUGACCGAGCAACGCCGCGUGAGUGAAGAAGGGUUUCGGAUCGUAAAACUCUGUUGGUAGAGAAGAACGUUGGUGAGAGUGGAAAGCUCAUCAAGUGACGGUAACUACCCAGAAAGGGACGGCUAACUACGUG